rnacentral:rRNA from 1 species
GACGAACGCUGGCGGCGUGCUUAACACAUGCAAGUCGAACGGAAAGGCCCUGCUUUUGUGGGGUGCUCGAGUGGCGAACGGGUGAGUAACACGUGAGUAACCUGCCCUUGACUUUGGGAUAACUUCAGGAAACUGGGGCUAAUACCGGAUAGGAGCUCCUGCUGCAUGGUGGGGGUUGGAAAGUUUCGGCGGUUGGGGAUGGACUCGCGGCUUAUCAGCUUGUUGGUGGGGUAGUGGCUUACCAAGGCUUUGACGGGUAGCCGGCCUGAGAGGGUGACCGGCCACAUUGGAACUGAGAUACGGCCCAGACUCCUACGGGAGGCAGCAGUGGGGAAUAUUGCAAAAUGGGCGGAAGCCUGAUGCAGCAACGCCGCGUGCGGGAUGACGGCCUUCGGGUUGUAAACCGCUUUCGCCUGUGACGAAGCGUGAGUGACGGUAAUGGGUAAAGAAGCACCGGCUAACUACGUG